UACCUGGUGACAGAGGUGGAGAACGGUGG
rnacentral:piRNA from 1 species